rnacentral:lncRNA from 1 species
ACAUGCACAUCUUGAUUUGGCUUAUUGAUUUGUUUCUUUGGAUCCAUGGUUUGACUAUACAAUAAAUGUCUUGUAAGUAUGUAUACUUUAUCUCCGACCUAUGAGCUCCAGAUAUUAAAGCCUUAUUAGAGUAGGGUGAGAGAGAAGGCAAUGUCACUAUGCCUCAUUCCACAAAUACCACAUAUUUUGAGAGAAGGCAUAUACCAUCACUGCCUUGGUAAGGACCCAGAAAUACCAC